ensembl:lncRNA
UGAGGUGCUGCAGUUGCCACUGCUUGUCCAGGACUAAUUUCAAUACAAGGUCAAGGGUGAUAAAGGCUACAGUGCAGUACUGCUGCAUCUUUACAGAUCCUUCAGAGAUCACCAGGAAACUGCAUCUACCUACAUUACUGCAGAAGGUGAGAGAGGCAAUACUCCUUGAACUCUCUGUCAUUAUUAAGUAGAAGAAGGGGCAGGAUCAUCCAUCCAUUUGAGAAACCUGCUGUGUUCGGUAAUGAGAACUUAAACAGCAGAGGUGGGAGACCGGGCUAUGCUGAUGAUGCAACUUUAAUCAUUUUCUUCCUCUCAGUUGGUCUUGCUUCACUGAGAAUGGGCAAAAGCAGAGUUACCCAACUCUGGAUGAAAGGAUGUUCAUCCUGGAACCAAUAUGAUGUGAGAGUUGGACCUGGUAGUUAUGUUACAACUGAUUUUCAUUUUCUCCACCUUCAUGUCUAUAAUUCUUUUUCGGCACCACUGUUCUAAUUUAAGCAAAUCACUGACAAUUUCAAGAUCCUAAGAAAUGCCAUAUUUUAGACAAAGACAGACCAAUGGUGUAAUUGUUUGGGUCCAGUGCAGACUUUCUUCAAAGCAAUAAAGUUAUGACUAUCAUAUGAGAGAGAUAUUCUGGGAUCCAGAGCUGUACUAUGCAAGGACACUUAUAUG